rnacentral:pre_miRNA from 1 species
AGGAGGAACAACCAUAGUGGUGGCGGCCAGCUAUGGAGCCCUGGAUUCAGCUCCUGCAGUAACUCUGGAGCUCUCUGUCUGCAGGGCCUGGAUACUCCGGGAGUGG